UUUUGAUUUCCUCCCAUCUCCACACCAAACCAAAUGAACAGUGUUUCUUGUGCGUGGUUAUAUUUUUAUAGUUCAAUGUGCUCAAAAGUAGUGGACUGGCUGUGGAAAAGAUGACAGGCAAAGCAUCUUAAAUUCUUGUAUGAGCCAAGAACUGGAGCACCUGAAAGAUGCCAGCAGCUCUGAGAUAACAUCUGAAAGAUGAAGUACAGAAGCAAGGAUCCAAGUCUGACAGAAAUUGACAGCAGUAGAUGACAAUCUGUCCAGUUUCCUGGAGCUGCUUCUGUAAAAGACCUCUCUGGUAAAGUCCAGACUUAAAGAGGAGCUUACAUGUUCCCCAGCUGUGACCAGAUUUCCACGGAGUGAAGCUCUGAUUGUGCAAGACUCCUGCUGCUAUAGCUCUUUAUAGCCAUGCUUUCCUCAUCCAUGCAGCCUUCAGUAAGUCAUAUUUCAUGACCCCAUCAGGCAGAGCCUUUUAACUUGUUCUCUCCUUAUCCAGUGCUAUUCUUAUUCUAGUUCUUAGAGUCUCACAGUCUUGCAGUCUUUUGGCCUUGCCUUGGCUCAGUAUAACCAGUCUCACCUGAUAACAGCUGUUAAAGCAUUUUUCUUCUCUCUGCCUUCUUCAGCAAACACCAGUCAAGUCCAUAAAUUAACAGUUCCUCUUGUUCAAAACCCAGAGACAGGUUUUCCAGAAACUUUUUGGAAGAAGUAUGAAGUACAAA